rnacentral:rRNA from 1 species
AUUGAACGCUGGCGGCAGGCCUAACACAUGCAAGUCGAACGAGCGGCGGACGGGUGAGUAAUGUCUGGGAAACUGCCCGAUGGAGGGGGAUAACUACUGGAAACGGUAGCUAAUACCGCAUACCAUCAGAUGUGCCCAGAUGGGAUUAGCUAGUAGGUGGGGUAAAGGCUCACCUAGGCGACGAUCCCUAGCUGGUCUGAGAGGAUGACCAGACACACUGGAACUGAGACACGGUCCAGACUCCUAAGGGAGGCAGCAGUGGGGAAUAUUGCACAAUGGGCGCAAGCCUGAUGCAGCCAUGCCGCGGGUGUGAAGAAGGCCUUCGGGUUGUAAAGUACGUUCAGCGGGGAGGCGUUAACCACAGAAGAAGCACCGGCUAACUCCGUGCCAGCAGCCGCGGUAAUUC